UGGAAGACUAGAGAAGCUUUAAUCAAGUGAAGAAAAUUUCAAGGUAAAAAAGUUGAAUUAUCAUUUUACCCUUACGCUAAAUCCAAAUGUUAUUAAAAUAUUUAAUUAAUUAAAUAGUAGAAUUUCUAUAAUAUUUUUAGUUGGUAAAAAUGUGAGUAAAUUAAAUAGAAAAUAAAAAUAACAACUAUCCCUUUAAAUAGAUACAUGUAUGUGUUUCAUCUUCCAAAUUAAUUUAUGUUCUUAAUUAAUAUCUGUCUUUAAUUUUGUAAUACUUGACCUUUCAACUUUGUAAGUGAAUCUUCAUAUUCCAAAGCUAUUAUUUUUUCCUAUAAAUACAAAGUCUUUCAAUAGUAUUUUCAUAGAAAGAUUUAUAUGUGAUACAAUUUUUGUGUGUGGAAGACUAGAGAAGCUUUAAUCAAGUGAAGAAAAUUUCAAGAUAAAAGGAUUUGUGUCAAGAUUACAAGACAUAAUGUGAUUAUAGGGAUGAAUAACACUUUAAUUACUAGAAUAUCGGAGCUUGAUGUAUUUGUUUUUUUACUUAUUUGUCGAGAUUAGAACUAUGAUAAGACCACUCCAUUUAUGUAGUUGAAUGUCACUUUCGUUAACUUGUCUUCCAAAACUUUUAACUCUUUUUUUAUGGUCAAAGGUUGAAUGUUUAUUACUAUAGCUUUGUUUCAAUUUGCAUUAUCAAUAAAAAGUAGGGAAAAGAUUGUCUUAGAAUUUUUCUA
rnacentral:lncRNA from 1 species